GGUCACCGAUCAGUUUCCUUCGUGAGUUCAAACCGUGCGGUCGUGAAAAAUCGAAAAACCAGUCAGCAGUUUUGGAAACGUCGAAUUUUCUUCCACCCUUGUGCAUCGUCUUUUCUCCCUCCCACCAUUCAGGGAGCAUAGUGGGUGGCACUACUGUGUUUAAUCGCAUGUGAAAUAUUCAACACGCGAGCAGCUGGUUUAAUCGAUAGUUUGGUGAACUUUUGAGAAGAAGGUGAAGUUCAAGAAGUGAUCGAAGCUCUAAUUGGAAAAGUUGCAGAAUCUGCGGAAAACGUCGAAGGAAACAACAGAAGCUGCUACCCGACAACCACUUGCCCGCCACUCUGGAUAGUACCGUUCCUUUUCCGAUCGGCACGUGACAGAAAACCGUGACAUUGGAGCACAGAAACGGACCCACAGCAGCCACGUGGUACGCAACGGAUCCACCGGCGUUAACAGAACCGUCGAUCCCGUCAGAGGUCCAUUCCCAACGGCAGCAACGUCCAGCUCGGAUACCGCACCCCCGCCGGCGGUCCCCAUUCGGCAGCACUAGUACAAACUAUGACCACUAAGGUGGACGGCCCUGGUGGUCCUCGGAACAACGGUCACGAAAUGGCACCGCUCAAUACGCGGGCUCGGGGCGAUGGCACUCACGGUGUGACCAUCAUGCUAUCGCCACCGGAUCGAAACUCAGUCGGAUCUCGGGAGGGAGCUGGUCUCCCCGAUGGCGAUCCAGAUCGGGCCGCCUGGUCCGGAAAGAUGCAAUUUUUCCUCAGUAUUAUCGGUUAUUCCGUCGGGUUGGGUAACAUCUGGCGGUUUCCGUACCUGUGCCAGCAAAACGGUGGAGGUGCCUUCCUCAUUCCGUUCAUGAUAAUGUUAAUCCUGGAGGGUAUCCCUCUGUUCCUCAUCGAGCUCGGAAUGGGCCAAAAGAUGCGGCUUGGUGCGCUUGGGGUGUGGAACACGAUACACCCCUGGCUCGGUGGCAUCGGUAUCUCGUCCUGCAUAGUGACGCUCUUCGUGGCGAUCUACUACAACGUGAUUAUUACCUGGUGCUUCUACUACUUCUUCAACAGCUUCCGGGUCCCCCUACCGUGGGCAAGCUGUCCGCAGUUCAAUGGCACCGAUCUGCCCGAAUGUGAACGAUCGUCGGAGACGGCCUACUUUUGGUACCGGACCACGCUGGAUGCUUCGCCCAGCAUCGAAGAACCGGAAGGUUUCAAGUGGUGGAUCGUGCUCUGUUUGCUGCUGUCGUGGACGGUGGUGUUCUUCAUCGUGAUGAAGGGCAUCCAGAGUUCGGGCAAGGUCGUGUACUUUACCUCGCUUUUCCCGUACAUCGUACUGACGAUCUUCUUCAUCCGGGGCAUCACGCUAAAGGGUGCCGGUGCCGGACUGAUGCACAUGUACACUCCCAAGGUGGAGAAACUGCUGGAACCGACCGUAUGGUUAGACGCGGCCACCCAGGUGUUCUAUUCGUUUGGGUUGGCCUUUGGGUCGUUGAUUGCGUUCGGUAGCUACAACACACCGAAAAACAAUUGUGUCCGGGAUGUGAUUUUAGUGUCGGUGUGCAACGCCGUUACGGCAAUCUAUGCAAGUGUGGUAAUAUUCGCCAUUCUUGGAUACAAGGCCACGGUUGGUGUUGAUAGGUGUAUUGCAGUGAACAAAGGUAUUUUGUUUAAGCACGGUUUGAUUGACUCGAUACAUGUGGACAACGCAAUUUAUGAGGAGAAAAUGAACAGCUUAGAUUCGAUGACGAAGACCAACUGGACCUUCGAGCACUGUAGUUUAGAGGACCAGCUGGACAGUGCCGCCGAAGGAACUGGACUCGCUUUCAUCGUGUUCACCCAGGCUAUCGUUCAGCUGCCCGGUGCACCCUUCUGGGCCGUCCUGUUCUUUACGAUGCUCCUCUCGCUGGGACUGGGUUCGCAAAUUGGCAUACUGGAGGGUAUGCUGUGUACGAUAUUCGACAUCGAUAUCUUUAAGCGGAUCAGAAAGCCUUACGUCACAGGAGUCGUGUGUCUAUUUUGCUUCACGGUGGGAUUAGUGUUCACCACAGGAGCGGGAGAAUAUUGGCUCAAGAUGUUCGAUUCGUUUGCCGGAACGAUUGGCCUGGUUGUGGUGGCCCUCAUGGAAACCAUUGCAGUCAUCUACAUCUAUGGACACAAAAAAUUCACGGAGGACAUCUAUCAAAUGACUGGAAUCCGACCUGGACCCUAUUGGCAGCUAACCUGGAGGUAUAUAGGGCCAGUCAUCAUGUUCUUAAUUCUACUGUCCUCAGUUCUGAGUAUGGUACUUAAAAGCCCUACCUACUCCGCGUGGAAUGGCGAAUUGGGCAUCACCGAGAACAAAUCCUACCCGGACUGGGUGAUGGCCAUCGCGUUGGCCAUGAUCGUCGCAUCUGUGCUUCCGAUGCCGUUGGUGUUCCUACUUCGACGGUUCCAGAUCCUCAAGGUGGACCUAGACAUCCACCAGGGCUCGAUCCGAAGAAACGAAACGACGGCGUCUACCAAAGAGAUGAUUGACGAAGACGAUGUGGUCAGUCCAGACUUACCACCGCAACAGUCACUGGCAGGAACGCGCUUCACCAUCGGAGACUUUGAUACCAGAACCGAUGACAACAGUAGCGUGGUGGUGAACAACAAGGUGAGGAAAACUUCAACGACAACUGCACUCCCGUCAAGCAUGGCGAUCACGGCAGCAACCACCAGAAUGACAACGACAACUUCAGCACUGAAACCGAUCCUUGCAACCACCGGCAGCAAUCGAAGCAACGUCGUUAAAAAGUAAAAAGCACAUAAUAAAUGCAGAAAGAAACGGAGUCCAGUAAUUUGUAAACGAAAAAUAACAAACAUACAACACAAGCGCGUUAACGCUAAAAGGAUAAAACCAAACAAUUGAGAAGAACAAAACACAAAAGCAAACACACAUAUACAUAACGUAACACAAAAUUCAAAAUUACUUAGUACACCAAUAGAUGUUUUCCUGAGUACUACUGUAUUACAAUGGAUUGAAGCUCCUCGGCCACCAACCACCAUCUUCAUCAUCGCCUGCAACAACAGCAAGAGCAAUUGGAAUGGCGACCGUGACAGUUACCGUACAUUUGAACAACCUCCCUCACUACUACCGAUCAUUGAAACCGAAACCGAGGAUUCUGAUGCUAGUUCGUAGGAAUGACUAUACAGUGUGGCUCUAAGUUUAAGAAGGACGAUGACGAUUUGUUGACAAUAUGGAUGAUGAUGACGAUGAUUUCAGUGGGCCGGCCCUGGGUGGACCGGUGAAUGUCCGCAGUGACAGUGACGACGAGGACGAACCGCCCACCAUGGGCAAGAUGCUGUCGAACAAGUCCUCACCGUUGACAGCCGCUGGCGUGGCAGCCUCCCAUCAGACGUUUCAGUUCAAAAACCAGCACCACCUGACGCCCAACCCUUUGGCUGCGAGUCCGACCCGGAAAAAGCCCUUCAGUAUGGAGGUGAUGGAUUUCUAAGUAUCCUGGACUUCCGGUUAUUCCGAAAUCCUGCUCGCCUGUUAAGGUGUGUGUACUUAAGCAAGAACAAACAACCAAGCUCAGCUAUAUUUUUAUAAAGGUGUUUUAUGCUACAUUGUGUACGUGUACAGAUUUCCCGACACAAACACAUUUGUUUGAGAGAUUACUCGCAUAUUCGUCGGUAUUUUAUAUUGUAUGGAUUAUUAUUUCAUUUGAUCGUUUCUUUUCUAAGUUGUUUGUAUAUAUCUAUGUGCGAUAGUGAGAAGUUUGUAGUAUUGAGGCUACUACCAAAGAAAGCAGCCCCUAUUGACGUACUGUUACGCUAAGUUAGUCGAGUUACUCUAGAUGCUAGAGUAUAAACCGUGUGAGGUAUAUGAUCGCAUAUAAAACAGUGUGCCAGAAAAUAUUUAGUGAGCUACUUACGGUGAGCCAAAAAGAUUUUUUUAUUUUUGUUCAAGUUUUUUUUUUUGUAAUCGGAAAAAAGUUACGAAUCACCCAAACAAAUUUAAGCAAGCUCCAGUUAUCAUCGUUAUCAAUCGUCGAAAAAAUCCCUGCACUUACGUUACAAGAUAAACAAAUACGAACGGAAACAAUAAGCAAACACUUGAUAUUACUCAAUGCAUACAAAACAAAUGUAGUUUAUACAAAACACAGAACGGAAAACAAAAAAAAUGUAGGAUUUUGAAACAGAAAGUAUGUAGUUUAUUUUAACACGAACGACGGUUUUAAAGAUAAGUUUGGAAAAGAGCAGUUUUUGACACUCGAUUCGGAUGUAUUCAAUUUUUCUGAGUAUUUUAGUAAGUGAUAUAAUUUGUAAGUAGCAAAACCGAUGAAACCACAUGUAGCAGAAACAACAGGACAACAAUAAGCAGCCAAUUUGACGAUUUUAGAAUGUUAAGAGAGCAGCUCUCUGCCCCGAAUGAAUUGGAUGAUAAAAGUCGUUUCACCAAACUGAACUAUGCCAGCAAAUAACUUAUGACAGACGUUGAAAAUUAAUAUUAAGUGGAAAAAGAUUGAACAAAAUAUCACUAGACCGUAGUAGACUGGUUCAUUUGAGAGACUUAUUGAUCGUAUAAAUCUUUAGGAAACUAUUCAGUCUGGUUAGGUUGCCACUGUACUCUUUCGAAGUUAUCGCAUCUACUCGAAAUAAUUUUACCAAAAUUGCACUUAAUGCACAAUUACAGUUUAUGAAAUAAUAUUCAAAACCAAAAGAAUUUGUACAUAGAAUGAUGUUCCUUCCUGAGUUGUUCGACCUGAAUAUUUAGUUUAGUUAAGAAAAACUAUAAGCAGCUGAAAUGAUAUGAGAAAAAAAGAUGGAAAAACAAUAAAAAUUGUGAUCAACAUUAUAUUUAAUGAGAAUACAACGUGUAGCUUGUAAGUUAAUGUUGUAAAAGUUAAGCAAAGUAAAAUGAUUACAAACCGAAAAUAAGUGAAAAGUUAGUUCUUAAUUAUGACAACAACCUAGCAUUGCAUCAGGAAUGUGAAACACAUCCAAAUUUGAUAGGAAAUAUGACUCAUCCGGGAGUACCUUGAAAUUCAAUCGGAACCGACAAAACGUUGCAAUUCCAUUACCCGGUAGAAUUAACUGGAUCGACAUUGACACAAAUCCUAAUCUGGAUGUGAUUGAGAGGAUGAAGUUUUUGCUCAUUCAAAUUAACAGUUUUUUAUGGUAUGUUUUUAGUCAUCUUCUUUUGUCUUUCGAAAGGUUUUCUACGGCAAAAGGAGAAACGUGAAAAUACCUUCAUUGUAACGUUUCGAAUCUUUUUCGUAUUUUAGGUUAAACAGUCAAUUUUAUUUUGCUAUUGUUGCACAAUUAUAUUGCAGUUUUCAGAAUAAGUUUUCAACAAGUUUUUGCUUCUCUUUUCAAAGAUUUGGUUAAACUAACAAUUACAUUUUGAAUUUCAGUUAAUUAAUUAUAAGAGCAAUAUUUUAAGACAAAACGUGUAAAUCUUCCAUUUAACUGCUACAAAAUGAGCUUUGCGAGAACCAAAUGCAUCGUUGAUUGGAUAAGGUAUUCUGAGAGAAGUCCCAGUUAUGAUUUGUCGUAAUUACCAAAGAGAAUCAACGAUGCAUUGUCAUUCAGAAAUUGGUUACCAGAACUAAUUUUACCUACAAACAAAAAUCAAAUACGUUUUAAAGAAGUAAAUCAACAAGAUGACUGUGAGCAAACCUAGUAUUAAGGCCAAAUUAGUUCCCGUCUAUGUUAUUAUCAGUUUCAAUAACUGAAGUACGCAUGUUCAAAGUAGAAUUCUAUAUUUAAAAUAAAAGAUAAAUAAGCAAUUUGAACCCAAUACUCACAAUAGUACGCGAACAUCAUUCGAUCGAAAAUUCAACCACUCGUUAUCAAUCUGGACUAAAUUACAGAAUCAAUCACAAAGCAUUAGUAAUAGAUAGCAGACAACCAAUUCUCAACAGUCAAUUGCUCCACCAAAACAGUACACAAGACUACAAUGGGCGAAUCUGGUUAUAAAGCAUCCUCUCGUUGGCAUUCAUGCUUUAAAUUUGAUUCAUUCAAAAAAAACUGCUCUCAUAGUCAAAUCAGUUUAUCGCAGCAUUUUGUUUUCGGCCCUCAUGACGAAUGGAACCCAUUUAAUAGAGUAUCCCAUUAGGGUGAUUCAACUGAGUUAAACUAUCCUACAUUUCGAGUAAAACGAAGCAUUCUUACCUAAUUUAAUGAAUCGGUUGAUUUGACCAUAGAAGAAUUAAUAUUAGAAAACUCAACAUGAAACCCUAGCUUAACACGAAAUUGAGUAAAAACUAAUUGUGGCUUAACGAAAAAAUAUCUUUCAAGAUGGAAUUCAAAGAGAUUUUACCUUCGGGUGAAAAACAUACUACCGAAAAAACAAAUGUUAUUAUAUAAUAGCAUUCAUCUUAGAGAGUUGAAACCAAGUUUAACUGAGACGUUUGAGCAUUAAUCUCUCCCCCAAUUGGUGGGAUGCUUUGGUUGGAAAAUAUUUUCCCGUGUAAAGUAUGUACCAUACUACUACGCUAUUAGUCCUCCAUCCCCAAGUCCCCGUCUACUGUAUCAGAUGUAGAACACUAUUGAUUAGGAAAAUUAGGCCAUCUAAAGUAAUCGUUUCCACGUAGGGCAAACAAACACAAGUAAAACAUUUAACGUGUUAAUGGUCUUUGUAAAAGACCUCCCAGCUUUAGAAGUGUCGUCGUUUCUAAUGGAAACUCAAACAAAAGAAAGAAUGGAAGUUAAUCGUAGCUACCGAACACCUACCUAUGACCGUUUUUGGAAACUGAACUACGUAAAAUCGUAAAUAUCCGUGUUCCCACCCUGCCUCCUGUUUCGCUUCAAACUCACAAACGCAACGUACAUAUAAAGACACAUAUUUCUCAAUUUUGGAUGCAAUCUUUUCAUUUGUUUUAAUUUACACAAACUGAAAAACACACAAUCGGGUUUUCUUCUCCCAUAUGAUAAAAUCAUUGAACACACAGAAAACCUGGCCCUACCGCCUAGUAUCAUCCACUAUUAAGAAAUGUUGCAAAUAGUGUAAAUUACAAAACGAAAAUUGAAAAAAGAACAAAUCUACAGAGAAGAAGAAAAACAAACUGAAAGUUAUUAUGUAAGGGAACUACUUCAAAUUGACAAACCCACAGAAUAAACAGAGAAACCAUAGUUCGUUAAGGUGAAA